rnacentral:rRNA from 1 species
GAUGAACGCUAGCGGAAGGCUUAAUACAUGCAAGUCGAGCGGUAGGUGGCUUCGGCCAUUGAGAGCGGCGCACGGGUGAGUAACGCGUACAUGACCUGCCUGUCAGAAGGGGAUAGCCCUGGGAAACUGGGAUUAAUACCCUAUGGUAUUGAUAUUAUGAAUGAUAUCAAUUAAAGUUGAGGCGCUGACAGAUGGAUGUGCGUCUGAUUAGCUAGUUGGUAGGGUAACGGCCUACCAAGGCGACGAUCAGUAGGGGGCGUGAGAGCGUGGUCCCCCACACGGGUACUGAGACACGGACCCGACUCCUACGGGAGGCAGCAGUAGGGAAUAUUAGAAAUGGACGAAAGUCUGAUCUAGCAACACCGCGUGUGCGAAGAAGGCCUUCGGGUCGUAAAGCACUUUUUGGAAGGAAUAGGAAGGAAUGUACUUCCAGAAUAAGUCUCGGCUAACUACGUG